rnacentral:rRNA from 1 species
UACGAAGGGCUAGCGUUGCUCGGAAUCACUGGGCGUAAAGGGUGCGUAGGCGGGUCUUAAGUCAGGGUGAAAUCCUGGAGCUCAACUCCAGAACUGCCUUUGAUACUGAAGAUCUUGAGUUCGGGAGAGGUGAGUGGAACUGCGAGUGUAGAGGUGAAAAUUCGUAGAUAUUCGCAAGAACACCAGUGGCGAAGGCGGCUCACUGGCCCGAUACUGACGCUGAGGCACGAAAAGCGUGGGGAGCAAACAGGG